rnacentral:lncRNA from 1 species
UUUGGGAGGGAAACGAAGGGUAAAGGCUUCAGUCAAUUUCUACAAAGUCAAGAUAAGCAUCCUAGAGACAAUUUUGGCUAAUUUUAGAUAGGGAGCUUACUUUCAGGAAAAGUGCAUUCCCUGUUCCAAGGGGGAGAAAUAAAUCAACAAUCCAGAAAGCCUGAAACUUUCUGACCUUCCACACUCUCCAGUAUUACUGAUGGAUAAGUCAAAAACUUCAACUGAGAAUUAUUGGAAAAAUAUAACAGCUUUCAAGUCCAUAUGUAUUUUAAGAUUCAAGAUUAUUUUGCUUCUUUUUAGAAUUGUAAAACUUUAGUUGUUAUUUUUUAGAAG